rnacentral:rRNA from 1 species
ACGGAGGAUGCAUGCGUUAUCCGGAUUUAUUAGGUUUAAAGGGUGCGUAGGCGGCUUAAUAAGUCAGGGGUGAAAUCUACCAGCUCAACUGGUAGUUUGCCUUUGAUACUGUUGAGCUAGAGUACGAACGAGGUAGGCGGAAUGUGCAGUGUAGCGGUGAAAUGCUUAGAUAUUGCACAGAACACCGAUUGCGGAGGCAGCUUACUAGGCCGUUACUGACGCUGAUGCACGAAAGCGUGGGGAUCAAACAG